GUGGCUGGGGGCACUGAUGCCGUGCCCGCCCGGCUCCGGAGCCUCUCUCCCCGGAGCGCAGAUCAGCAGCUGGACUGACAAACCAGUGGGACAGGGAGCUCAUUGGAAGAUCCACGUUGGCAGCCCAGAUUCAAUGGGCUCUCUGAGCUGGCAAAAAAAACUGGAAUGGCUGUCCAUCCCUUUCAGCUCUGCUGGGCAUCUCAGUGCCAGCAGCUCCACAGCACCCACGACACACACUGAACCUCCUGGCUCCUCAACUCCCCUGCAGAGGACACCCAGGGUCUUGUGGCUAGCUUGGUAUGGCUUGGGCAAGAUAUCCAUGUUAAAAAUAUCGCCAUGAGAUUGUCAAGAGAGAGACACUCUUGUGUUGGAGAGACUUUUCAAGGCAGUACUUCAGCUCUGUUAGUCCUUAUCCAACUCAAAAUCUUGGGAUGCAACUUGGGGAUGCACGAGCAAUCACACCAGAUAAUCUGCUGGACCUCCUUCCACCAGUAAGGGCUUAUAAACUUUUCCCCAGUUUCAAGUCUUGACAGAAAAGUAGUUUAAUGCUCAAGUAUUACUCAGUGAACUCAGAUAAAUUGACUUUUGGUCAGGUCCUUUCCACCACAAUAGCCUGCCUAAAACUGCAGAAGCAGAUCUUAAACUGAAGCAUUGAUGUCACCUCUGAACAGCUCAAACCUAAAAGAAGAUAUGUGAGUAUAUAUAUAUAUCAAGAGAUAAAAAAUGUUCCAGUUAUCCGACCUAAUUACAAGCAUAAUCCAAUUGUGUUGUUUCUAUUUUUCUAAGGAAAAAAAAAAAAAAAGAAGAGAUAUUUCUACUCACUUGAAGAAGUGGCAAUCCUAAUACCGCAAAUCUGCACAUUUCUGUAAGAGUCAAAAAUGGAAACUGGAUCUGUAACUGAAAGCUGCAAUUAUCAAGGCUAACCUUUCCUGACUGAGAAACGCAGAAUUAAAGAAGAUAAGAAAUCAAGUUAAGAAAAAAUGUUCAUAAGCUGAAAUAAUUGAAAGAGAGCAAAACAGUUUUUUUUCCCCAGUUGCUAUCCUGCAUGUCAAAAAACCUGCAAAAUCCUAAGGGGGUAGCAAUAAUCCUAUGCUGUAUUUAUUUCUAUUUAUUUAUGAUGACAGUAGACUUUAUUCCAGAACAGUGGUACAUGUGUCAGACACAUCUGGCUCAACAAGGGUAUGAUCCAACACCCAAGGAGCAUAACUAAGAUUAUCCCAUUGACUUCUGUAGGCAUUCCUCCAAGUGCUCCCUCUUGGUGCUGUGUUACUUCCCUUAAUGGAUAAUUCUCAGCUCACAUCUGUGCUCUAAAACGAUGCUGGUGGUACAUAAAGAAUGAGUUUAUUUGCUUUUAUUAUGGUGUAUGUUUCACAUUCUAUCAACAUAAUCCAAGGUUUGAGUUUGAUGUUAAAUAAUCAACCUGUUUAUGGAGGGAAAGUAAGACCUUCCCCCAUGUUUUAAUAAAGCUUUACCACAUAUAUAAAUAACAGGCACAAUUUGUUUCCAUUAGGAAGAUAAGCUUUCUUCAAAGCAGUUCACUGUUUAAGGCUUUAAAUUUUGCCAGCACUUGCACAAGGUUGCAACAAACCUUGACUUAUUUACAGAGAGAUGUUGAGGGGAGAUAAAGUCACUUAAUGAUCCACCAGUUCUUGCUAAAUACAUUUUCCUUCCAUGCCCUCUCUGAAAGCAGGUAGGAUAGUACCAUUCUUUGGCAUAUUCUUAAAAUAAUUGAACUAAAGGUUUUACAGAACAAUUAAACAAAUGGGUCUUAUGGCUUCUCUGACUAAAAUAAUCCUCUAAGAACUUAGGGUUAAAAACAGCAAGAAGAAAGUCCCUAGGCAUUUAUUUGAAAAUAAUUAUGUAGUAAGAAUAGAAAAGGGGACAACAAUAGCAUAAACAAACCAGAAGUUUGAUUUGCUUUGGUGCCUCA